rnacentral:rRNA from 1 species
GUGCCAGCAGCAGCGGUAAUACGUAGGUGGCAAGCGUUGUCCGGAAUUAUUGGGCGUAAAGCGCGCGCAGGCGGUUUCUUAAGUCUGAUGUGAAAGCCCACGGCUCAACCGUGGAGGGUCAUUGGAAACUGGGGAACUUGAGUGCAGAAGAGGAAAGCGGAAUUCCACGUGUAGCGGUGAAAUGCGUAGAGAUGUGGAGGAACACCAGUGGCGAAGGCGGCUUUCUGGUCUGUAACUGACGC